rnacentral:misc_RNA from 1 species
GUGAAUCAUCGAAUUUUUGAACGCAAAUUGCACUCUCCUCGGAGAGUAUGCCUGUUUGAGGGUCAGCCUAUAUAAAUCGAUAUCGUUGAUGUUUUGCGGUGGUGUUUGUCGGAAUUUGGAUCAUUUUUAUUUCUUUUGAUUUAAGAGACUUAAAAUCUUCUUUUAGUUUCAUGAAGGUUUCUAAGAUCUAUUUAUUUACACGUUUAAGGUAUCGAUUUUUACUAGCAGUGACCAUUAUAUCGGAUCGCGUCCAUAAUCUUUCAUUAAUUGACUUCAGACAGGUAAGAGGACUCGCUGAA